GCUUUGCGGGCAGGUACGGCUUGGCCAACGAGACGGUGGAGACCAUGGCCGCUCCCGUAUGGUUCUUGACGUAGCCGAGACCUGCGACGAUGUCGCCGGUGUUCAUCCCGGUAAGCCUUGCUGGGAGGUACGGCUUGGCCAACGAAACGGUGGAGGCCACGGCCGCUCCUGUAUGGUUCUUGACGUAGCCGAGACCGGCGACGAUGUUGCCCGUGUUCAUCUCGGUUAGCUUUGCCGGGAGGUACGGCUUGGCCAGCGAGACGGUGGAGGCCACGGCGCUCGCCUGUUGCUUGACGAUGUCGACGCCGGAGAAGAGGAGGUCGCGUGCGUUCAUCUCGCCUGGUUUUCCUUUCCGACUUGUGGU
rnacentral:lncRNA from 1 species